GAUGAACGCUGACAGAAUGCUUAACACAUACAAGUCUUUGGCGAAGCUGUGCUUGCACAGCCUAGCCAAGGCGGACGGGUGAGUAACGCGUAAGGAACUUGCCCUGCAGUCAGGGAUAACAGACGGAAACGACUGAUAAGACCUGGUAAAGUCAGGCGGACUCAUGUCCAGCCUGAUGAAAAGAGAUGCUGCAGGAGAGCCUUGCGUCCUAUUAGCUUGUUGGUGGGGUAACGGCCCACCAAGGCGAUGAUAGGUAGCCGGCCUGAGAGGGUGGACGGCCACAAGGGGACUGAGAUACGGCCCUUACUCCUACGGGAGGCAGCAGUGGGGAAUAUUGGACAAUGGGGGCAACCCUGAUCCAGCAAUUCUGUGUGCACGAUGAAGGUUUUCGGAUUGUAAAGUGCUUUCAGCAGGGAAGAAAAAAAUGACGGUACCUGCAGAAGAAGCGACGGCUAAAUACGUG
rnacentral:rRNA from 1 species